AGUGAACGCUGGCGGUAGGCCUAACACAUGCAAGUCGAACGGCAGCACAGUAAGAGCUUGCUCUUACGGGUGGCGAGUGGCGGACGGGUGAGGAAUACAUCGGAAUCUACUUUUUCUUGGGGGAUAACGUAGGGAAACUUACGCUAAUACCGCAUACGACCUACGGGUGAAAGCAGGGGAUCUUCGGACCUUGCGCGAUUGAUUGAGCCGAUGUCGGAUUAGCUAGUUGGCGGGGUAAAGGCCCACCAAGGCAACGAUCCGUAGCCGGUCUGAGAGGAUGAUCAGCCACACUGGAACUGAGACACGGUCCAGACUCCUACGGGAGGCAGCAGUGGGGAAUCUUGGGCAAUGGGCGAAAGCCUGAUGGAGCAACGCCGCGUGGGUGAAGAAGGGCUUCGGGUUGGAAAACCCUGUUAUUGGGGAAGAAAAGAUGUGUGAUUAACUCCGCACGUUUUGACGGUACCUAAACAAAAAGCCACGGCUAACUUCGUG
rnacentral:rRNA from 1 species